GAAUUUUGGACAAUGGGCGCAAGCCUGAUCCAGCAAUGCCGCGUGAGUGAAGAAGGCCUUCGGGUUGUUAAGCUCUUUUGUCAGGGAAGAAACGGUGGGAGCUAAUAUCUCCCGCUAAUGACGGUACCUGAAGAAUAAGCACCGGCUACCUACGUGCCAGCAGCCGCGGUAAUACGUAGGGUGCAAGCGUUAAUCGGAAUUACUGGGCGUAAAGCGUGCGCAGGCGGUUUUGUAAGUCUGAUGUGAAAUCCCCGGGCUCAACCUGGGAAUUGCAUUGGAGACUGCAAGGCUAGAAUCUGGCAGAGGGGGGUAGAAUUCCACGUGUAGCAGUGAAAUGCGUAGAGAUGUGGAGGAACACCGAUGGCGAAGGCAGCCCCCUGGGUCAAGAUUGACGCUCAUGCACGAAAGCGUGGGGAGCAAACAG
rnacentral:rRNA from 1 species